GUUGGCGGCGUGGAUUAGGCAUGCAAGUCGCGCGAGAAGUUGGUUAGCUUGCUAACCGACGGACAGCGGCGGAAGGGAGAGUAACGCGUGGUUAUGUGCCCUGAAGACCGGGAUAGUGUUGGGAAACUGGCAGUAAUACCGGAUAAUAUCUUUGGAUCAAAGGUGUGAUUCCGCUUCAGGAUCGGACCGCGUACUAUUAGCUUGUUGGUGGGGUAAUGGCCCACCAAGGCUCAGAUGGUUACCGGGUGUGAGAGCAUGACCCGGCUCACUGGGACUGAGACACUGCCCAGACAUCUACGGAUGGCUGCAGUCGAGAAUCUUCGGCAAUGGACGAAAGUCUGACCGAGCGACGCCGCGUGCGGGAUGAAGGCCCUCGGGUUGUAAACCGCUGUCAGUUAGGAGGAAAUCUAUGAGAGCACUCUCUCAUAGUUGACCGAUUUUCAGAGGAAGGACGGGCUAAGUUCGUGCCAGCAGCCGCGGUAAGACGAACCGUCCGAACGUUAUUCGGUAUCACUGGGCUUAAAGCGUGCGUAGGCGGCUUGAUAGGUGAGAUGUGAAAGCCCACGGCCCAACCGUGGAAUUGCGUUUCAAACCCUCAAGCUCGAGGAAGAUAGG
rnacentral:rRNA from 1 species